UGAGUAUUACAUCAGGUACUGGUGAGACAUUAGAACAACCCAGUACUUGUGUUAUACUUUCG
rnacentral:pre_miRNA from 1 species